rnacentral:rRNA from 1 species
AGUCGAACGGUAACAUUUCUAGCUCUGCUAGAAGAUGACGAGUGGCGGACGGGUGAGUAAUGCUUGGGAACUUGCCUUUGCGAGGGGGAUAACAGUUGGAAACGACUGCUAAUACCGCAUAAUGUCUUCGGACCAAACGGGGCUUCGGCUCCGGCGCAAAGAGAGGCCCAAGUGAGAUUAGCUAGUUGGUAAGGUAACGGCUUACCAAGGCGACGAUCUCUAGCUGUUCUGAGAGGAAGAUCAGCCACACUGGGACUGAAACACGGCCCAGACUCCUACGGGAGGCAGCAGUGGGGAAUAUUGCACAAUGGGGGAAACCCUGAUGCAGCCAUGCCGCGUGUGUGAAGAAGGCCUUCGGGUUGUAAAGCACUUUCAGUUGUGAGGAAAAGUUAGUAGUUAAUACCUGCUAGCCGUGACGUUAACAACAGAAGAAGCACCGGCUAACUCCGUGCCAGCAGCCGCGGUAAUACGGAGGGUGCGAGCGUUAAUCGGAAUUACUGGGCGUAAAGCGCACGCAGGCGGUUUGUUAAGCUAGAUGUGAAAGCCCCGGGCUCAACCUGGGAUGGUCAUUUAGAACUGGCAGACUAGAGUCUUGGAGAGGGGAGUGGAAUUCCAGGUGUAGCGGUGAAAUGCGUAGAUAUCUGGAGGAACAUCAGUGGCGAAAGCGACUCCCUGGCCAAAGACUGACGCUCAUGUGCGAAAGUGUGGGGUAGCGAACAGAUUAGAUACCCUGGGUAGUCCCACA